UUACCGGCGGUCUCUAAUUCGCUUGGUGCAGGUCGGGAACUGAUUGAUUGCCGCUCCUUCUUCUUCUUCUUCUUCUUUUUUUUUCAUUCAAUUGGAUCCAAUUUAAGCCAGCUGAUUGGAGGAUGCGAGAAUUGGAUCCCGCCUUGCAUCAACUGAAUCGGAGACCGCGGUGAGG
rnacentral:pre_miRNA from 1 species